rnacentral:rRNA from 1 species
UACGUAGGGUGCGAGCGUUAAUCGGAAUUACUGGGCGUAAAGCGUGCGCAGGCGGUUUUGUAAGCCAGAUGUGAAAGCCCCGGGCUUAACCUGGGAAUGGCAUUUGGGACUGCAAGGCUGGAGUGUGGCAGAGGAGACGUGGAAUUCCUGGUGUAGCAGUGAAAUGCGUAGAUAUCAGGAGGAACACCGAUGGCGAAGGCAGGUCUCUGGGCUGACACUGACGCUCAUGCACGAAAGCGUGGGGAGCAAACAGG